AGUUUUGAAUCCUGGAGAAAAAGUACAUUUGUUAACACAAGUUACUUAUUUUCCACUCUUGGCCCAGGCCAUGUGACUUGCUUUUACAGUGUGUUCAAAUCUCAAUGGGCAAUGUUUCUUUAUGCUAUAAUAUCAAAAGGGCUAUCAUUUAUACAGUACGCCUCAUUCCCACUUCUUUCUUGAUACAGUGCCUGCAGCUUUGACAUCCACGCCAAGAUAGGAAGGCAUCAUUUUUUUUUUUUUUUUUUUUUUUUUGAGACAGAGUUUCACUCUUGUUACCCAGGCUGGAGUGCAAUGGCGCCAUCUCGGCUCACCGCAACCUCCGCCUCCUGGGUUCAGGCAAUUCUCCUCGUCAGCCAGAAGCAGUGGUUCACGCCUGUAAACCCAGCACUUUGGGAGGCCGAGGUGGAUGGAUCACCUCAGGUCAGGAGUUUGCGACCAGCCUGGCUAACAUGGUGAAACCCCAUCUCUACUGAAAAUACAAAAAUUAGCCAGCUGUGGUGGUGCAUGCCUAUAAUCCCAGCUAUUCAGGAGGCUGAAUCAGGAGAAUUGCUUGAACCCAGGAGGCAGAGGUUGCAGUAAGCCAAGAUUGUGCCACUGCACUCCAGCCUGGACAAUGGAACAAGACUCUGUCUCAAAAAAGGAAUUGCUAUUUGUCUACAGAAACUCUUUCUUAUAGGUGCAUAUAAAUGCAAGUAGGUGCUUAAAGAGAUUAUUAACAUAUGGGUUGCGUGUGCCACACUAUCUGAUUGACUAAAAGCCAACUUUUAAAGGAGAGGUAUGGCUUUUCCUACAUUUGUGAUAAGAAUUUCCCAAUCUUAGAACCAGGAUUCUGCUGCCUAAUAUACAGAGUAGAAUGCAACAUUUCUGAUUCUUCAACAAAUCUGGAAGGCAAACAGCAAAAUGUGGUGAGCUAAGCAUGUUUUCUCUCACCUCUAGCUUCUCUACUAAGCAAAAUAAGUUAAUGAGUCAACUCCUCUCCAGCCGGCAUGUUAUGUGCCAAUUGCUGAAAUCAAAUGAGAAACUCUUUCUAGUGCAGGACACAGAGCUCAUGUGAAAGUUGUCAGAUUUGAUAAAGUGCAGUUGUUCUAGAAGAAAACACUCCCUUUCUAUUUUCUAGGAUACAUCUGUUUGCCAGAGUGCAUUUUCCAGCUAAUACCUGUUUGUCGACAGAAUUUGCAAUGAACUUUAAUUGUGUGCUUUACCUGACAGUCUUAAUUGUAAUCUGACUUCCUUCAGGUAGCAAUCAGCUGAGUGAAAUAAUCAUAUCUCCCUGAAGGCCAUAAAUACUACCACCUGCACCUCUUCUGUUGCAUGUUCCUCUUUUUAACUCCAGCAUCACGUGGAGAGGAGAUACAGAGCCUGAAAAGGUACAGCACACUCAAAAUAGCUGCUAUUUUCCUAUCAUUACAGUGGUGUGUAAUUAAACACAGACAGAGUAACUGAGGACAAAAAUAAUCCUAUCAUUUUAAAAUUGUAAUAGUAAAGCUGCUGUAUAAGCAGAGAUUGCCUUUUUUAGUAAG
rnacentral:lncRNA from 1 species